UUUUUUUUUUUUUUUUUCAGGUAUCGGGAAUUUGUACGAUACUUACGUUUCGAAAUAUUAAUGUACAAAUUAUUGUCAGGGAAUAAAGACGUUUUGAAAAGAACGUGUAACACGAACAAAUUCGUAAACGUAAAAUGAAUAAAAAUGUUCGUAGGUAUAUAUCAAAACGAAAUAAAAUAUCCCUACGCGUUUUUACUCUCUGCAAAUUUCAGUGCCUACUUCUUACAAUUAGGUUUUUAGGUAUCCACACACACACACAGGAAGAAACACUAUAAAGGCAUAUUAUUAAAAUUAAAACCCGAGCACGUGAAAUGAAAUGCCGUAUUGGCGAAUUUGUCGGCCGGAAAUUGAAUGCAUUACUGUCGUCUCAAUAUUGCUUAUUAUGUUAUACGCGUUAUAAAAUGGCUAUUUCGUCACACACCCACUAAUUGUCCAACAGAGAUCGAAGACGAUUUAAUACCGUGCCCGUGAAAAAACCGUUUCCGCGUUCGGUUGACCCAACAGCGCGGCGGCCAGGUGUAGUUUCUACCGACGGUGUUACGGUUUUCCGUCGCGUAUGCCGUGACGAAAUAGAAAUAGGAAAAAAACAUAAAAAAAAAAACGACGAAAACUACUAACCGCUGUUACGGACAAUCGUGCUACUAGUUUUGAGUUUCCGUUACACCGCGCGUCCCGAUUGGCUGAACCGGGUGGCACGCGGAUAGUCAAUCGUCAAACCGUUUGGUCAAUCGGAACGCGUUGAUCGCACGCC